UCUAAAACCACUGCAUGACUGAUAAUGCUUCACAGGGAUGCUCCAACCCUGUGCUCACAGUUCACUUUGCAUGAACUACAAUUUUAGAUGGAGGCAAAUGUUCAACUUUAUGGCAGUUGUAGUAUAUGGCUUUGGUGUCGCAUGUUGCAAGGUAAUGACUUGGGAGUGACUUUAUUGACACUGGAGUUGCAUUACCUCACCACACCACAGCAAUGACAUUGCAUCUUAAAUAUGCCAGGGCUUACAAAUUACUUUUUGCAAUCCUGUUCUGUGCUUGAAACCCACAUGCUCUUUUCAUUGCACUUCCUCCCUUUCCAGGUGCAUGGUGGACAGCAAGUAUGAAACCUGUAGCUCCCAUUUUGUGCCUCCCAGAACCAACAAUACAAUCAAUUUAAUUGUUGAUGCUUUCCAGUUCAACACGCUGUCCCCUCUGGUAAACCAGUACUACAUGCACUGCACAAUGGUGGUAACGAGCAACAGCAUGGUAACGCAGAGUACCAAAUCUUGCCACUAUGAUAAGAACGUGAACAGGUAGGUUCCAUUUAAGGGUUAAAGGUAUCGCUCCAUUGCAUGUCUUGGGUAGUGCAAGAUGAAGGCAACCAUUAAUGAUGUGUCAAUUUUCUAGAACUAAAGAUUUGGUUUCCAUAGUUCUGGGAGGGUGGCAUUCCAAUGAGGCACCAUGCUCUUUCUAGGAGCAUGUAACUUGAGGCAGUUCCAUGUGAAUAACUACUAAUGUCUCUGUUCAGGUGGGUGGAACUUGAAGGUAACCACAGUGUCUGUUCCUGCUGUGACUCUGUGUGCAUAAAUGAAGAUGUGACUUUGCC